rnacentral:ncRNA from 2 species
UGAGAUAGAGGCCGCGUGGUUCAAGAGUAAGUAUAAGGAGAAUUUCACAGUUCCGGGAAUUAUACCGAAAGGGGAUUCACGCCGAAGGAGGCAGGUUUGUGAAGACCGCUGUCCUGGUUAUAAAGUUAAGAGCUUUAUAAUUGUCAUCAGUUCUGAUGGAGAGCUAGUGGAGAGCUA